rnacentral:tRNA from 1 species
UCUCAAGUGGUGUAAUUGGAAACACGCCUGAUUUUGGCUCAGGAGAGUUCAGGUUCGAGACCUGACUUGAGAA